CGCACCUUGCGCUCCUUGGUAUUCCGAGGAGCAUGCCUGUUUGAGUGUCAUGAAAUUCUCAACUGCCUUUUAGCAUUUAUGUUAAGGUGAAGUUGGAGUUGGAGGAUAACUGCUGGCGCAACUUAGGUUGCUUGUUAGCUCCUCUUAAAUGGAUAAGCUUUUCUGAUAGAUUAUAGCUCAGUAAUAUUAAUGUGAUAAUGAUCUACAUUAUAUGUGAAAGCUAUAAGUAGAGUUUAUGGAGAAGCUCUCUAUAGAAAGGGUAUAAUAACUUGACAAAUCUGACCUCAAAUCAGGUAGGACUACCCGCUGAACUUAA
rnacentral:rRNA from 1 species